GCGCCGUGGCACGCGCCGGCAUCAGUCCCCGGGGUGGUCGUCGUCUCGCGAGAGAGGCUUGGCGGGGAGCGUGCCGAGAACGAGGAGAGGAGAGGGAGGAGUCGCGGCCACCUCCGCCUCCUCGUCCUGUGGGAGGGGGGCCGAGGGAGGGGACUGUUGCUGAUCUCAGGAUGUUCUGGGUAGUCUGAGAAGGAGAGUAUGAGGCGAGCUCCGGCCCGGGCGCGGCCGGGCUUCGGGGGCGAAGGCGGCGCCGUCUAAGCCCCUGCUCCCGCGAGGGCCGGCGCACGGAUGGUGCCGGGGCCACUCGGGUGUUGAUCCGCGUGUCCCCUCCCCCUCCCCCACGCGGUGGUCUGCCGUCCCGCCCCGGCCGGGCAGAGCCAUGUCUCGGCGUGGCUCCUGCCCACACCUGUUGUGGGACGUGAGGAAAAGGUCCCUCGGGCUGGAGGACCCGUCCCGGCUGCGGAACCGCUACCUGGGCAGAAGGAAUUUAUCCAAAGAUUAAAACUUGAAGCAACCCUGAAUGUGCAUGAUGGCUGUGUGAUCCAUGGAUCAUACUUGGGAAAACACUGCUGCAGCUGCUCACUGAAAACAUGAAACUAGAAAGAUCACAUGGAAAGAAAUUACAAAGUCAAAAGAGGGGCUAAGCCCUUACUCUAAGGAACCCAACAUUUAAAACUUAAGCAAAGAGGGAAAAAGUGUCUUUAGUCUUAGCCCCCAAAUGGUUAUCUUUUUCCUGUCCACAAUUAGGGAAUUAUAAUUAUGCUGUAAAUACAGUUUAGGUAUAUAUUACUUAUUUUAAAAGUUAAAAUAAUUUUGGGGGGAAAGGGAUGAAAAUAAUAAACGCACAUGGUUAAAAUGGGUUAUAAUAAAAAGUAAUAGAUGUGUCCCACUCUCCAUUAUUCCUUUCUUAUUCUCCAAAAGCAACCUCUUUUAAUCUUUUUUUGUUUCAGCUCUUCUGGUGAUUUCUUUCAUGUCUCUACAUAAUAUUCUUAUACUGGUCUUUCUUAAUUGUUAACUUUGGACAUUGUCUAUUGAUUUCCUGCUGUAAUAGAGGAGGAUUUAAGUUAUUUUUGCGACUCUCGCUUUCUAAGAUUUAGGCUUCUCAGAAUUUCUGUGUUACUGUUCUCAGCCUCUCCACUGGUCACUUUAACUUUAAACAACAUACGUAAACAUCCUUUUGUUUUUCUGUCUUUUGUAGACGGUAUCCCUUGAGUCCCCAUUCUGUAAGAUAGAGACGUUGAAUGCUUUCACCCUUCGUUCCACCUUCCUCUCUUUCUGGUUCACACCUCUGUCAGGUGUACAUGCUUUUAUGUUGUCAAUGUUGAUUACAUUUACCCUUUAUUCUGUAGCAGUUGUUAUAUUCUGUAAUUGUCUAUGUAUUGUAAAAGUUGAAAUUCAGUAAACAAUGUUAAUAAGUCUUAAAUAUAUU